CCUGAGAUCAUGACCUGAGCCGAAGGCAGAGGCUUUAACCCAAUGAGCCACCCAGGCGCCCCUCCCUAGGUGAUUCUAAUGGGCAACACUAACUUGGAGCACUGGGGAUGGGAGGCAUUCUCUGCAGGUGACAGAGAGAUGAUUUCUGGGUGCCCACUCUUGGUGCAGUAGACUACAUGCAGGUCCUUGGUGCCCUCCAACCCCCAUCCUCUGUAGGCGUGGUCCUCUCCUGUUGCCCUCUGCUGCCCAGAGUCUUGCAGCCAACGAGGUGCAUUCCUGUCUGUAGCAGGUGCACCUGGAGUUCGCUCUGUGGCCGCAGUUGGCCGGCCUGCUCUUCUUUGCACCUUGUAGGUUCUGGAUAGUGCAGUCGUGGCUAGAGUCAUCUCCUUUCUUCAGCCCCAUGCUUUCUCUUUCCCUACACAGUCCCUUAUUCCUGCUUCGGGUGCUCUCUAUUGGCCCACUCCGAUUCUCCCCAGGACUCCAGAUUCACAGAGCUACCCCUAUCUCUAGUAGCCUGGCGGUUUAACCUUGAACAUCAGCAGUACAGACAUAGGGAACGGGAGUCUCGUGGCUUUGAAAUAAUACUUCAUUACGGUUGUUUUUGAUCAGUGACAUUUUCCUCUUUAGGCCAGCAUUUGCUAGAUUUUAUCUUUUACACCUCCUGGUUCCUUUCCCCCUGGUUUAUAGCAUGGUGAGCUGUUUCCUGUUUCCUAUUUUCUGUACAAUCAGCUCUAUCUUUGUUUUUAUCAGCCCCUGUCCACAAGGUGUUGGGGAGCAGAGGGAGGGAGUGGAGAAGGGGAGGGGUAUUUUGAGACAAAUUACUGUCAAACCCACGCCCCAAGAUUGUUAUCUUUUCCCAGUUGGUCUGGUUAUGGAGCCCAGAGCUGGCUCUGUGUUGACCAGCUUGGGAAGCACAAGGGCUCCGAGGUGACCUUCUAGCUCCGGAACCGAGCUCAGACUCUGAUUGACGAGUCCAACUAGCAAUUCUCAGUUCCCGCUGCACGGUGGAAUCACCUGUCCCCCCUGUCCGAUUAAGUCAGUCUUCGAGGGUUAGGCUUAGGUGUUUCUAAACACUCCCAGUUGAUUAUUAUGUGUAGCCAGGGAUGAGAGCCACUCUGCCGCCCAGCCCUCCUCCAAGGUGUGGGGGAGGAUUUAUUGCCUGGGUUAAAAUAACAUUUUGUUCUGUGACUGGAAGAGAAAAGUAAAAAGGUCAUUUGUUUUUAGGUUUUGGCCAGAGAUUCUUGAAAAGGAGACGAUUAUGUUCUUCCAAGGCCAUCUUUGCUCUUUUUUUUUAAGUUAUCAUCUCCUAUCCCAGCUCAUGCUGUUUGAAGUUUAUCUGCUCCAAGUACAGGCAGAAUUCUGCAAACCCUUGUUUUCCCCUGGGCAGUUCAUAAUGGUUUGUAGGAGAGCUCUUCUCUGUGUGAGGCUGGGGGCUGGUGUUGGGAGGGGAUUGGGAAGGGGGGAGCCCCUGCCACUGUGCGCUCACUUGCCUUUCCCCGGAGAAGGCAGCUCAAGUCUCCAUCUUCCCAGGUGGAGCCCUGGUCCCUACAUGCAGCAGCAUCACCUGGGCGCUUGUCAGAAGUGCACAUCCUCAGUCCCCACCCCAGACCCACCCACCUAUCAGAAACUCUGGGGUGGAGCCCAUAAUCUGUGUCCUAGCAAACCUUCUAGAAGAUUCUGACGCACCCCAAGAGUUUGAGACCCAGCCAGUAGCUGAGAUGGGGCUUGAGAAUUUGAUUUCUGACAACUUCCCAGUGAUGCUAGUCUGGGGACCUCACUUGGAGAACCACUGGCUUAGUGAUGAGCAGGAUGUGGGAAGGAAGCUUCUGCCGCCUUCAACCUAAGUCACGAUCUCCGUCAAGCCCUAAUAGUGGCGGGUUCUGCUGAACUUGUCUCCCCCACACCAGUCCUAAGAAGUAGUUUCUGUGGUGCCGUGUGCCUAGUCCCACCCUUCACAGAUUCACGUGCAUUGGGAACAGUCCUUUAAAUAAUCCAGAUGGGCUUUUUUUUUUUUCCUUCUCCUCCCCCACCUUUUUGGUUUGGAAAAGUUUUGAUCUGCUUUUGUUUUUCCAGAUUCUGUGUUUUUGUUUUGUUUUGUUUUGAGAUGGGGGUUCACUCAUCAGAUCUUCCUCUUAUUUGAGUUACCUUGGAGUUCCUCAUUUUAUUUCAUUUUUGAUUUCUCAUUUUAUCAGCCUCAGUUUCCCAAAGUAAAAAGUAAACUGCUUCCUCAUAGGCGUACCAUGUUACUUAUUAAAUAUCAGAUGGAGAGUUCCUGUCACUUAGUAAACAUGUAAUAAACGUCAGUUUCGUCCUCCCUGGCUGACUCCGGGAGGAGAUGAGCACGAACUGCCCCACCCUCAUGGCAGACCAGUAUGAAAUUAGGCAAAGGGAAAAUUAGGCAAAGAGAAAAGCCUCUGAGAAGUGGGGAGCAGCCCAGGGAAUGUGGGAAAAUGGAGCAGGGCUUCCCCAGGAGGACACUGUUGGUUAGAGACCAAGGCUAGACGUAGUUGUUGCCGACUGAAGCUGGGUACAGAGUGAGUGUCCCAGAGGACAUUAGAGGAGUGAGCAGUUUGCCUGAGGGUAGAGGUGAGAAGUGAUGGUGAAACUGAGCCUCCUUCAGACAGGCUGCAGCAAGGACCCGGCCAGCUCAGUGCCAGGCGUGAUUGUCUUGGGUGAGCACGGAAAGUCUGGAGACUCAGGGUUCUGGACAGAACCAUUAGGCUGCCUGGUGGCCUCUAGUUAUUUACAGGAAAUGUUGACUUUGGGGAACUUAGAAGUACCCUACUUCUUCUCAGCUAGGACAGGUAGGACCAUUGCUGCAUCUAGCUAUGACCUGGAGAGGGGCUGGGUCCUCUUCCGUGAUUCUGAUUUUGCCAUAAGAGAGGGGCCAUCGUCUUGGCAAGGGUGGUCGGACAGCGUCUGCAUUAGAGACUAAAGAGAAAGCAAAGAUUCUCAGUUCCUUUCCAGGAACGGUUGUCAUGUAUCUCAGAGACAGAAGGUGAAACCUGUCCAGUGGUGGGGUGUUUAUUUCACCGAGGUCAUUUUCAGCUCCACAGCAAGGGGAUCAUUUUUUUAAAAAAAUUAAAUUCAAUCAGUUAACAUACAGUGUAUUAUUAGUUUCAGAGGUAGAAUUCUGUGAUUCAUCAGUAGCAAGGGGGGCGGGGAUCAUUAAUGGCUCUGGCCAGUGGAGUGAGGGGCCUUCUAGCUAAGGAGUCUCCCAUUUAUCUGGUGAUAGAGCGGUUUUCUGCCUGGACUGGAGGCCGAGGACCCCCUCCCCCUCAAUGUCGAUUCUCUCCAGAUUCCCCCCUCCCAUGGCGGGUGGGAGGAGUGAUAAGGUGGAGUUGUAGCCCAGCUGCAGAGGGUCCUGGUGGGGACUGCUGGGAGCAGUUUUAUCGGAAACCACAGAACCCCAAAGCAAGCUGAGAGAGCUGAAGUCAGCUUUAUCAAGGAGUGCCAGAGACGCAGAAGGCCCGCCCGAGGAAAUGGCUA